rnacentral:lncRNA from 1 species
AGAGCAUACUAGGGGGUCGGGAGUGUAUAGUUUGCCGCUCAAGAAUCUCAGUAUGGCACGGGAGGGGGUCUACAUGGGGGUUGCGACUGGGUCGUUGGAGAGAGGGAUAGCAGAGCACAGGAGAGGUGUCAAUGGGGGAAGGACGGCAGCGGCCCUCUCCACAGGAGCGCUGGAGUGUGGCGUGCAGGUUGGCUGGGAUGAUGCGAGGGUGGUUGGGACCUUUGAAAGGGAUACACGUGCGCCGUUGACGGAGGCCAUGGAGAUGUAUGUGAAUGGCAAUGCAAAGAGGCUUGUGGGCAUUAACCAGCCGGCCC